GGAUUAGAUACCCUGGUAGUCCACGCCCUAAACGAUGUAUGCUUGGUGUUGGCGGUUUACCGUCAGUGCCGGAGGAAAUCCGUUAAGCAUACCACCUGGGGAGUACGAUCGCAAGGUUGAAACUCAAAGGAAUUGACGGGGGCCCGCACAAGCGGUGGAUUAUGUGGUUUAAUUCGAUGCAACGCGAAGAACCUUACCCGGGCUUGAAGUGCAGUGGACAAUCCCUGAAAGGGGGUCUUUCUUCGGAACCGCUGUAGAGGUGCUGCAUGGCUGUCGUCAGCUCGUGCCG
rnacentral:rRNA from 1 species